GUUAUUAUUGAUAGUGUUACUUUCCACUUUCGACAAGAUUUUGAAGAUCUAGCACUGAGGACCAGAGUGCUAAGUGGAUUAUCAUUGAAGUUAAUGAAGAUUGCAAAGACAUAUAACUUGGCAGUUGUCUUGUUGAACCAAGUCACUACUAAAUUUACAGAAGGUUCAUUUCAAUUGACUCUUGCUCUAGGUCAGUUUUGUGUCAUACAAGUAUAAUCCUCCAUUCCUUCUUCAUCUUCGAAUCAGUACUGGAUGUUUGUGGUCAUUAUUGCUCACAGAGCAGCAGGAAGUUAGCACCAAGAAUUUCCUUGCUUU